rnacentral:tRNA from 1 species
UAUAAAUUAGUGUAUGGCGCACCUAGGCUUUUGAACCCUAAAGAUAAGGCUCGACUCCUUAAUUUAUAA